UCUGUGAGUAUUAAGGCAGCAAUUGCAGGCAUUUGUCCUUUGGUAAAUCCUUUCUGAAGUCUGCUUUGUUGUUUGAUUACUGAAUCUUGGUUGUUUUGAAGGUGUAGCUUCUCUACAAUUUUUCCAAUGAACAUAGUGAUGACAAUUUUUCUGUAGGAGUUUGGAUCCGUUUUCUUUUUUCCUUUUUUCAAAAUUGGACAGGCUAUUCCACUCUUUAGUAAUG
rnacentral:lncRNA from 1 species